rnacentral:lncRNA from 10 species
GGCCGGGCUCGUGGGGUAGGGGACGCUGCUCCCCACCUGCCCUGGGGUGGUGGGUGCCACUGGGGAGGCCUCUCCCUAGGGGCAUCUCCCAGGUGGGCAGACCAGAAACUUACCCCGAGUUCUGUGACCCACUCUGGGGAGUGGGGCAUCUCAUCUCCUCUCAGCCACUUCUGAAAGCUGCGACAUGGCAGAGUGGGCAGGGCUGCCCUCUGAGCUGACACCCUUCCCCUUCUCCCCAUCUUGUCUCUCCUCAGAUCUAGGGCUCAUUCUGAGGCGUGGGUGAUACUUGCUCCCCAACCCCAGCCUCUUCAGUGCAGGGAGGCAGGGCCUGAACUUCGGAGGGUCUUGGGGCAGGUUCCUGGGGCUUGCAGGGCGGCCUCCCCUUUCCCAGGGAAAGGAAGAGAGAAGCCGUGUCUGGGGAGGGAAGCCUCUACCUCCACCCUCACUGUGCCCAGAGCUGCAUCCCCAACCUGGCCUGGGGAGACUGGCACCAGGUGGAGCUGGUCCCCAAGGAGCCCCAACCCCCAGAACAUCUGCAGAGGUCAGCUCUCAGGGGGCCCCAGGGCCAGUCCUCUCUGCACCCCACCUUCCCUGCUCAAUGUGGCUUGUAGGUGGUUAUGCAAAGCAUAUGCAAAGCACAUGCAAAUGAGGCCCAGCCACAACCGGUCACUCUCUCCAGGUGAGACUACUGAAGCCCUCUGGUCAUCAGCAGGAAUGCAGGGGUGCCUAUGGCAGGCCGGACUCCAGGUCAGGCCUUGGGGCAGUGAGGAAGAAGGUGCAAGUCAGGAGCUGCCUUCGUGUUCUGGAAGAAUUCACGUGCUAAUUUGUAGGCGGCCUGGCCAGAUGCUUCAGAGACUCCGGCAGCAUCGAAGGCGUGAUUUUAGAUCAGUGCUCCCGAGACCCUUGUGUUAUUUAAGAAGUGUUCCUUUGGACAGACGUGCCAGCGCCUGUUUGCCCCAUUGCUGCAUUUUGCACUGUGUACCUGUCAGGGUUCUGUGCAAGGAGAAUCUACCUCAGGUGUUUCAAGCCAAAAGGGAUGUUAACAUAAGGAAUCAGGAAUUCAUAAAACCAUUGGUAAAGAUUCAUGGACUUGAGGAAAUAAUCACUGCGAGAGAUGGAAGGUCAAAGCUUUCUGGGGCAAGGCCAUGCCUCCACCACAGUCCCCGAUCCUCCCCACUCCCACAUCCACAAAUCAGGCACUGAGAUGGCAGAAUGGGAAAUGCAGCCAUUGCCAACCAGUGUUUCUGCUGGAACCCACUUUCUUUUUUUUUUUUUUGAGACGGAGUCUCGCUCUGUCGCCCAGGCUGGAGUGCAGUGGCCAGAUCUCAGCUCACUGCAAGCUCCACCUCCCGGGUUUAUGCCAUUCUCCUGCCUCAGCCUCCCGAGUAGCUGGGACUACAGGCGCCCGCCACCUCGCCCGGCUAGUUUUUUUUUUUUUUUGUAUUUUUUAGUAGAGACGGGGUUUCACCGUGUUAGCCAGGAUGGUCUCGAUCUCCUGACCUUGUGAUCCGCCCGUCUCGGCCUCCCAAAGUGCUGGGAUUACAGGCUUGAGCCACCGCGCCCGGCCAACGGAACCCACUUUCAUACCCAUGCAGCUGCAGAAAGACAAGAGUCUAUCUUCCUUCCACUUCCCAAUUCCACAAGAACGCAUUGAUUUUCAGAGAGAAAGUCACAUCUAGAGGGAACCUGGGAAAUAGCUUCUAGCUUUCCAGCUGCUGUGGUCUGAAUGUAACCCCGAUCAUUCAUGAGAUGAGCCUGAACUCCAAUGCAACAGUGUUAAGAGGUAGAUCCUUUGGGAGGUGAUUAGGUCAGGAGAGCUUCUCCCUCGUGAAUGGGAUUAAGACCUUUAUAAAAGAGGCUUUGAAGGCCGGACGUGGUGGCUCACACCUAUAAUCCCAGCACUUUGGGAGGCUGAGGCUGGCAGAUCACCUGAGGUCAGGAGUUCGAGACCAGCCUGGUCAACAUGGCGAAACCUGUCUCCAUUAAAAAUACAAAAAAUUAGCUGGGUGUGGUAGCACAGACCUGUAAUCUCAGCCACUCGGGAGGCUGAGGCAGGAGGAUCACUUGAACCCGGGACGCAGAGGUUACAGUGAGCUGAGACGGCACCACUGCGCUCUAGCCUGGGUGACACAGAGCAAGGCUCUGUGUGAAAGAAAGAAGGAAGGGAGGAAGGGAGGAAGGGAGGAAGGAAGGAAGGAAGAAAAGGCUUUGUAGAGUGUUCAGUUCAGCUCAGUUUUGGCCCUUCCAUCCCUUCCUGCCUGUGAGGACGCAGUGUUCAUUCCCUCUGGAGGGUGCAGCACCAAGGCACCAUCCUGGAAGCAGAGAGCAGCCCUCACUAACACCAAACCUGCCAGCACCAUCAUCUUGGACUUCUCAGGCUCCAGAAUUGUGAGAAAUACAUUUCUGUUCUUUGUAAAUUACCCAGUCUAGGUAUUUUGCUAAAGCAGCAUGAAUGGACCAAGACACCAACCAUCUAAACAAAAGAUUAAAGGAGCUGAUUCCAUCAGCCAGCAUCUUGCUGAUCUUCCACAGCAUGGCAUCAAAAGCAGCC